UGACUGAUGCUGUCUCCUCUCCUCAGGUAUCCAUAGUGACUGAUGCUGUCUCCUCUCCUCAGGUAUCCAUAGUGACUGAUGCCGUCUCCUCUCCGCAGGUAUCCAUAGUGACUGAUGCUGUCUCCUCAGGUAUCCAUAGUGACUGAUGCUGUCUCCUCAGGUAUUCGUAGUGACUGAUGCUGUCUCCUCAGGUAUCCAUAGUGACUGAUGCUGUCUCCUCUCCUCAGGUAUCCAUAGUGACUGAUGCUGUCUCCUCUCCUCAGGUAUCCAUAGUGACUGAUGCUGUCUCCUCUUCUCAGGUAUCCGUAGUGACUGAUGCUGUCUCCUCUCCUCAGGUAUCCAUAGUGACUGAUGCUGUCUCCUCUCCUCAGGUAUCCAUAGUGACUGAUGCUGUCUCCUCAGGUAUCCAUAGUGACUGAUGCUGUCUCCUCUCCUCAGGUAUCCAUAGUGACUGAUGCCGUCUCCUCUCCGCAGGUAUCCAUAGUGACUGAUGCUGUCUCCUCAGGUAUCCGUAGUGACUGAUGCUGUCUCCUCAGGUAUCCAUAGUGACUGAUGCUGUCUCCUCUCCUCAGGUAUCCAUAGUGACUGAUGCUGUCUCCUCUCCUCAGGUAUCCAUAGUGACUGAUGCUCUCUCCUCUCCUCAGGUAUCCAUAGUGACUGAUGCUGUCUCCUCAGGUAUCCGUAGUGACUGAUGCUGUCUCCUCAGGUAUCCAUAGUGACUGAUGCUGUCUCCUCUCCGCAGGUAUCCAUAGUGACUGAUGCUGUCUCCUCAGGUAUCCGUAGUGACUGAUGCUGUCUCCUCAGGUAUCCAUAGUGACUGAUGCUGUCUUCUCUCCUCAGGUAUCCAUAGUGACUGAUGCUGUCUCCUCUCCUCAGGUAUCCAUAGUGACUGAUGCUGUCUCCUCUCCUCAGGUAUCCAUAGUGACUGAUGCCGUCUCCUCUCCGCAGGUAUCCAUAGUGACUGAUGCUGUCUCCUCAGGUAUCCAUAGUGACUGAUGCUGUCUCCUCUCCUCAGGUAUCCAUAGUGACUGAUGCUGUCUCCUCUCCUCAGGUAUCCAUAGUGACUGAUGCUGUCUCCUCUCCUCAGGUAUCCAUAGUGACUGAUGCUGUCUCCUC